UAAGGUGUAACCAAACAUAAAACAACCGAAAACAAGCCAAGCGGUAGAGGGGACCGGAAAGAAGAGAAGCGAAGUGAGAGAGACUAAAAUGGCGAGGAAUUUGGGGGUUUUGAUGCGGCAGUUGCUUGGCAUUCGCAACAACCUGUGUGCAGCAGGUCUUCUUCAUCAUCUUCACCAAAAAUCCAUCCAAAACCUAACUUCAAUACGAAAUACCACACCAUCUUCACCACAGACAAUCGAUAUUCGUUCCGCUUCCAAACCCUUCUCCCAUUAUUGCAUUCACACCCCAAACCUUCAAUUUCUGCAACAGCAACGAUGCCUAUCCUCACUCUCAGAGUCAGAUUCAGAUUCAGAUUCAAAAAAUUUACUUUCAGGUCCCUCAAACCUAUUCGUCAUUGAGAGUCUCAGCAUGCCUUAUGAGGCACUUGAAAAAGUUAAAAGUAUGCCAAUUUCUCCACCCACCUCAUCCUCUCUUAAUUUUACACAUUCAAAAUAGGGAAUUAAGUUUUGUUGUGGAUUUUUAAUUUAAUUUAAUUUAAUUUUUUUUAUUUUUUUUUGAUGAAAUUUUUUUUUUUUUUUUAAUUCCUUGGUAAUACACUGCACCCGGGUGCCCGGCUAGUAAGUUCUGACUUCUAAUCAAUGAAUUUACUUUCAUUUUUUUAGCGUAAAUUUACUUUCAUCAAUCAAGUCAUUUGCAAUGAAUUGCUCUCUUUUUUAUGAGAGCAAUUCAUUGCAAAUGACUCCAAUCUUUGAUGAGUUGUGUGAGCAAUUCCGACAUAUAACAAUGUAUAAGGUUUACAUGGAUAAGGUGUGUAAUUUUAUUAUGGUCUUCCUUCAACUUGGAUUAUUAUUAUUUUUUUAAAAUUUAGUCGGUGUGCAUGUAGUUUUAUUGUGAAUUUUAUGAAUCCCAUCUUUAAGAUUAGGUCAAAACAAACGCAAGUGUUCUCAGUCACGUAAUCCAGUUAUGGGUCUGAAGUUUAAUAAAUUUCUGUAAUUUUUUAAAUUUUGAAUUGGUUUAUGGUUUAUUGGAAACAGUGGUUUGGUAAUUUUCUUACUCCUAGGCAUGUACUUCAUGUGCAGCAUGGUAUACUGUUUGAUAUAAAACAUUGUUCUUUCCUUUAAAAUUACCACAACCAAACUCAGAUUGUUUGGGCUGAGGGAUAAGUUGUGGCUUGGAACCUGUAAUAUGGAUUUAAUGAUUUUGUUGACAAUUACAUCUUGUUUUGUUUUUCUUGUGGGAUGCUUGGUUUUGUGAACUAUUUCAUUGUCUUUGAGAAAAAAUAUAUAUAUUUCUUUGAUUGAUUGGAUAUAGAGGAAGUUGCUCUAAUCAAAUUGAUAGUAUGAAUACAUCACUAUAGACAAGAAUACAAAUAUAGACCCACAAAUCCUAUCUUCCCUUACUGUUCUACAUCAGUUUGGUAUCAGAGCAUCCUCCACCAUGUUCUUACAUGGUGGGAGGGCAGAUGGUCAACUUGGCAACCAACUUAAGAUCACAGCCCCUAGGGGUAUGAUUAAACACUUGAAACAGUAAAACCGAGAAGAAUAUAGAGGUGGAGGAGAAGAAAAGAUAGAUUGAAUAGAUGAAAGAAAGGACAGAAAUCAGAGAACCGAGAAGAAUACUAAAGAACCAAGAAGUAAGGACAGAAAGUAGGGAGUUUUAAGAGAGGGUUUAUUCAACAUCCAAAUCUGAAUUUUAAAGAACUACAUGGGGGUAUUUAUAGCAAACUAAAACCUAGAGAUAAUAGGAUAAAAAUCCCUUGCUAAAACAGAAAUCCUAAACUGGGAAACUGGAAAACUAGAGAAUCUAGGAAACUAACAAAUAAACUAGGAAACUAAUCAAUUUAAGUCCUACGCAUUCUGCAUCAACUACCUCAAUGUCAAAACUCGAGAGAGAAUGAUGUAGGAGCAAAGUUCAAGUUUAAUGAAUGGAAUUCUUUCUAGUUUCUUUCCUAUGUAAUAAAUGCAAUUUUCUAAGGUUUACUGUCUUUGAGUCUCCCUAUGUCACAUGAUUAAUGUAUUAGCUGUAGUAAAUGUCUUUAGAAUUACCAAGUGUGUUAAUGUGGAUCUUUCCAGAUUCAUGUACCAAUUAACCUAUAAAAAGGGACUAUUUUGUAAGCAUAAAAUCAGAGUUAGUGAAAGGAAAAGAAAAAUUCUUGCGAAUUUCUGCUUGUGUGAGGCACAGGUUGUCUUGGAGUGAUUCCAAGGUACCUUCGGUGUGAGGCUGAAAUUGAUCUAAUUUCUCAACUUGAAACCUUUGGUGUGAUGCCAAAGGCUGGAGUUCUUACGUGGUGGGAGAUCCUGUGUACCAGGCGCAGAUGGUCAACUUGGCAACCAACUUAAGAUCAUUCUACUUCAACAUGUCAAACUGAGGUCGAGUUUUCUGCAACCAGGGAAAAUGAUGCAGGAGCAAAGUUCAAGUUUAGUAAAUGGGAGUCUUUCUAGUUUCUUUCCUAUGUCACAUGAUUAGUGUAUUAAUUUAGGUGUAAUAAUUAUGUCUUUAAAUUCCCGAGUGUGUUAAUAGGGAUCUUUCCAGAUUCAUGUAGCAAUUACCCUAUAAUAGGGGCUACUUGUAAGCAUAAAAUCAGAGUUAGUGAGAAAAAAAAAAAAUUCUUGUGAAUUUCUGCUUAUGUGUUAGGCACAGGUUGUCUUGGAGUGAUUCCAUGGCACCUCCGGUGUGAUGUCUAAUUUCUCAACUUGAAACCUUUGGUGGGAUGCCAAGGCUUAGAAAUGACCCUAAAUGCCCAUUGGAUAUAUUUGGAAUUUCUUACAAAAGGGUGAAAUGAAAUGUGCAACAAGGCAUGGUGGGUGAAAGAUAACUUAAUCGUGUACGCGAUAAAACGAAUUUGCUCAUGGAUGAAUCACAGUAUUAUUUUUUGUUAUGCCUCUGAUUAGUAGAUCUGAUGUUGUUUAUUCUAUCUAUAGAAAGCCCCUGAAUCCUCAUUGGACAAGUUGGAAACUCACAAGACGCCAACGUUCCAUUGCUAUCUAAAGGGGGAAAGGGUAGAUGAGCUUGCCGGUGCUUCAGCCAGACACUUGAAAAAAAGACUUGAAAAUGUCUACAAUCCGUCUGGGAUGAAGAAAAGGAGAGGACAAGGUAAGAAAGAUGAGAAUGAUGGAGGAAUUGUUCAGGUACUUCCAAGUAGGUUUCCUGAAACAUCAUUUCCUGGAGUGUUGUCGAAUCAUCAGGGAUAGAUGGAUGUAGCAACAUGCCGUUUUGAGAUGUGGGCUUUUGCAAAAGGGAUGCUUUUAUGUCAAGAGAACAGAGAGAUUUUCCAAAUUGGAAGAUCGUGAAUCCAAGGUCGAAUGGUUUAAGCAUGAAAUGGCUGAGAAAUGAGUUAGAAGCACUUGUAUGUUAAGUUGCGUGGCAUUAAUUUAUAUAUGGUUUAGUUUAGACUUGUGCGGUGCUGGAUUUGGAUUUUGGAUAAUUACCUUAUGCUUGACUGUCAUUUAGGUAAUUGUAGUAUGUUGACUGCUGUGGUAUAAUUAUGAUAUGUUUGGCUGUUUUUGUGUUCC